rnacentral:rRNA from 1 species
CCCUUAGAUGUCCUGGGCCGCACGCGCGCUACAAUGACUCACUCAGAAAGUUUUUCCUGAUCCGGAAGGAUUCGGGUAAUCUUCAUAGCAUGAGUCGUGUUAGGGAUCGAUCUUUGCAAUUAUAGAUCUUGAGCGAGGAAUGCCUAGUAAGUGCAGCUCAUCAGGCUGUACUGAUUACGUCCCUGCCCUUUGUACACACCGCCCGUCGCUCCUACCGAUUGAGUGGUCCGGUGAACCUUCUGGAUUAAGCAGCAAUGCUUGAGAAGUUAGGUAAACCUUAUCACUUAGAGGAAGGAGAAGUCGUAACA